rnacentral:rRNA from 6 species
AAAACUUUCAACAACGGAUCUCUUGGUUCUGGCAUCGAUGAAGAACGCAGCGAAAUGCGAUAAGUAAUGUGAAUUGCAGAAUUUAGUGAAUCAUCGAAUCUUUGAACGCACAUUGCGCCCCUCGGUAUUCCGGGGGGCAUGCCUGUUCGAGCGUCAUUA